rnacentral:SRP_RNA from 1 species
ACUGGCUUUUGUGACGGGAGCGUGUAAGUCAGUGUUUUGACAGUUUAAUUUGAUGAAGAUUUGCCGUCUAGGUUCACAGCUGCCUAUUAGGUGUUGUAGAUCGAGUGUCCGUACCGAGUUUUGCGUCGAUAGGCUAUCUUGGAGGGAUCUUUGAUAAACCGGUCAUGGCUUUGGCCUUUAAAGAGAGAUGGAGGGGCUUAGGAUCGAAAGGUAGCAGGCAAACGUCUCCACGCAAUGACAGUGGUCGGAUGGCGCACGCAAGGCAUUUAGUAUCAACUUCUAGGUUUACAUAGUUUCACUCAAAUUUUU